rnacentral:rRNA from 1 species
GAUGAACGCUGGCGGCGUGCCUAAUACAUGCAAGUCGAGCGAACAGACGAGGAGCUUGCUCCUCUGACGUUAGCGGCGGACGGGUGAGUAACACGUGGAUAACCUACCUAUAAGACUGGGAUAACUUCGGGAAACCGGAGCUAAUACCGGAUAAUAUAUUGAACCGCAUGGUUCAAUAGUGAAAGACGGUUUUGCUGUCACUUAUAGAUGGAUCCGCGCCGCAUUAGCUAGUUGGUAAGGUAACGGCUUACCAAGGCAACGAUGCGUAGCCGACCUGAGAGGGUGAUCGGCCACACUGGAACUGAGACACGGUCCAGACUCCUACGGGAGGCAGCAGUAGGGAAUCUUCCGCAAUGGGCGAAAGCCUGACGGAGCAACGCCGCGGGAGUGAUGAAGGUCUUCGGAUCGUAAAACUCUGUAUUAGGGAAGAACAAAUGUGUAAGUAACUAUGCACGUCUUGACGGUACCUAAUCAGAAAGCCACGGCUAACUACGUG